rnacentral:rRNA from 1 species
UACGUGUGAGGCAAGCGUUAUUCGUCUUUAAUGGGCCUAAAGGGUGCGUAGGCGGGUCUGUAAGUCAGUGGUGAAAUCUCCGUGCUUAACAUGGAAACUGCCAUUGAUACUAUAGGUCUUGAAUUUUCUGGAGGUAAGCGGAAUAUGUCAUGUAGCGGUGAAAUGCUUAGAUAUGACAUAGAACACCAAUUGCGAAGGCAGCUUGCUACAGGGAUAUUGACACUGAGGCACGAAAGCGUGGGGAUCAAACAGG